GACCACGUCCUGCAGGAAUGUGUGCCCAGAUGUGAAGCCACGGCUUCCGCCUGAGCAAUGGCAGCGGAGGCCACAGGAGAGGGCUGCCGAACAUGAGGCUCCUUGGAGCUCCACUUUAAGACUGUGAGGAACUGCAGCAUUGCACAUUUCUAGCUUCUGGCCUCCUCCACCCUCUGCAAUGGAUCCCCGCACCAAGCCCCGGCCCCCGGCAAAGGACAUGGCAAACCACCCAGCAAGUCGCCUCAGAGUCCUCAGCCAGGCCUGGGGGACGAGACCAACUGGCCC